CAUAGUGAUCGCCGUCGAGGUUCUUCGGGCACGAUCGUCCCGAAGCUAAGAGGGAAGCCGGUGCAAGGCCGGCGCUGCCCCCGCAACUGUUAGCGGUGAGCCGACGUUCAGCAAAGCCACUGGGAGCGAUCCCGGGAAGGUCGAACAAAGGCGAUGACCCGCGAGCCAGGAGACCUGCCUCGUCGAACGAAACGUCC
rnacentral:ncRNA from 21 species